rnacentral:rRNA from 1 species
UCGAACGGUAACAGGAAGAAGCUUGCUUCUUUGCUGACGAGUGGCGGACGGGUGAGUAAUGUCUGGGAAACUGCCUGAUGGAGGGGGAUAACUACUGGAAACGGUAGCUAAUACCGCAUAACGUCGCAAGACCAAAGAGGGGGACCUUCGGGCCUCUUGCCAUCGGAUGUGCCCAGAUGGGAUUAGCUAGUAGGUGGGGUAACGGCUCACCUAGGCGACGAUCCCUAGCUGGUCUGAGAGGAUGACCAGCCACACUGGAACUGAGACACGGUCCAGACUCCUACGGGAGGCAGCAGUGGGGAAUAUUGCACAAUGGGCGCAAGCCUGAUGCAGCCAUGCCGCGUGUAUGAAGAAGGCCUUCGGGUUGUAAAGUACUUUCAGCGGGGAGGAAGGGAGUAAAGUUAAUACCUUUGCUCAUUGACGUUACCCGCAGAAGAAGCACCGGCUAACUCCGUGCCAGCAGCCGCGGUAAUACGGAGGGUGCAAGCGUUAAUCGGAAUUACUGGGCGUAAAGCGCACGCAGGCGGUUUGUUAAGUCAGAUGUGAAAUCCCCGGGCUCAACCUGGGAACUGCAUCUGAUACUGGCAAGCUUGAGUCUCGUAGAGGGGGGUAGAAUUCCAGGUGUAGCGGUGAAAUGCGUAGAGAUCUGGAGGAAUACCGGUGGCGAAGGCGGCCCCCUGGACGAAGACUGACGCUCAGGUGCGAAAGCGUGGGGAGCAAACAGGAUUAGAUACCCUGGUAGUCCACGCCGUAAACGAUGUCGACUUGGAGGUUGUGCCCUUGAGGCGUGGCUUCCGGAGCUAACGCGUUAAGUCGACCGCCUGGGGAGUACGGCCGCAAGGUUAAAACUCAAAUGAAUUGACGGGGGCCCGCACAAGCGGUGGAGCAUGUGGUUUAAUUCGAUGCAACGCGAAGAACCUUACCUGGUCUUGACAUCCACGGAAGUUUUCAGAGAUGAGAAUGUGCCUUCGGGAACCGUGAGACAGGUGCUGCAUGGCUGUCGUCAGCUCGUGUUGUGAAAUGUUGGGUUAAGUCCCGCAACGAGCGCAACCCUUAUCCUUUGUUGCCAGCGGUCCGGCCGGGAACUCAAAGGAGACUGCCAGUGAUAAACUGGAGGAA